UGGGGAAUAUUGGGCAAUGGGCGCAAGCCUGACCCAGCAACGCCGCGUGAGGGAAGAAGGCUUUCGGGUUGUAAACCUCUGUCCUUCGUGACGAAAAAAAUGACGGUAGCCAAGGAGGCAGCCCCGGCUAACUACGUGCCAGCAGCCGCGGUAAUACGUAGGGGGCGAGCGUUGUCCGGAAUUACUGGGCGUACAGGGUGCGUAGGUGGCCUUUUAAGUUGGAUGUGAAAUACCCGGGCUUAACUUGGGGGGUGCAUCUAAUACUGGAGGGCUAGAGUGCAGGAGAGGGAAGCGGAAUUCCUAGUGUAGCGGUGAAAUGCGUAGAUAUUAGGAGGAACACCAGUGGCGAAGGCGGCUUUCUGGACUGUAACUGACACUGAGGCACGAAAGCGUGGGGAGCAAACA
rnacentral:rRNA from 1 species